rnacentral:rRNA from 1 species
UACAGAGGUGGCAAGCGUUGUUCGGAAUUACUGGGCGUAAAGGGCGCGUAGGCGGUCUCGUAAGUCCCGUGUGAAAGCCCCCGGCUCAACUGGGGAAUGGCACGGGAAACUGCGAGGCUUGAGUUCGGGAGAGGGAAGCGGAAUUCCGGGUGUAGCGGUGAAAUGCGUAGAUAUCCGGAGGAACACCGGUGGCGAAGGCGGCUUCCUGGACCGACACUGACGCUGAGGCGCGAAAGCUAGGGGAGCAAACGGG